CCAGGCGCCGAAGAUGAACUCUGCAAUUGGGACUAAGUCGUAACAAGGUAGCCGUAGGGGAACCUGCGGCUGGAUCACCUCCUUUCUAA
rnacentral:rRNA from 1 species